AGCGUUUAGCGUCUGUGGGACUUGAUGCCAAAAACACGGUGUGCGUGUGGGACUGGAAAAAGGGGCGUGUCUUAGCCACCGCCACGGGACAUUCUGAUAGGAUCUUUGAUAUUUCCUGGGACCCGUUUCUGCAGCACAGGCUGGUGAGCUGCGGAGUCAAGCACAUUAAAUUUUGGGCGUUAUGUGGCAAUGCGUUGACGCCAAAACGAGGGAUUUUCGGAAAGACGGGAGACUUGCAAACCAUCCUGUGCUUGGCGACGGCAAAAGAUGAAGUGACGUAUUCGGGAGCUCUUAAUGGAGAUAUUUACGUGUGGAAGGGACUCAACCUGACACGAACGAUACAGUCGGCACACGGAGUGAGUGAAGCUCAU